rnacentral:tRNA from 1 species
GUUUCAUAAUUUAAUUAAAAUAUUAAUUUUGUAAAUUAAAGAUAUCUAUAUAUGAUUGAAACU